AGAAAACACAGGUCUGCGGAGGAGAAAGUGGUCUCAUUUUGCCACAGGAAAUGUGAAACUUGGGGACUUCUGAACCGAGGAACUGGUAUUGGGGUCCACAUCACACUGAUCCUUGAUUACCCAAAAGUGUAGUUUAAAAGCCAGUGGCUUGCAGACCAUGCAGAGGGCGCUAGAACUCCAUUUCCCAGGAGGUCUCAGGGCACAGGGUGGAGACUGCGUCUGACGACAGGGGUGGGACUCGGUCGCUGCCGGAAUGAUGCCCGGAUCCCGCCUUGUUCGCCCAGCCAUGAGAAACCUGGGAGGCUCUGUGAGCUGCGGUUGAACGGCGCUGGAAGACGACCGCUUUGCCAGGAGAAAAUUGACUGCUGAGCAGUGUACAUCUGAAGAAGGAUGCUUUGUCAGAUGAGAUUGGAAGAUUUUAGAAGAAACUAUAAUUCCAAGGUUAAAAUCCAUAGGAAUGAUUUUCCCUCCCUUUCCCCAAGGUUGAGCAACAGGGUCAACAAAGGUCCGUCUAGCCACAGAUGGCAGCCCACCAGGCUCCCCCGUCCCUGGGAUUCUCCAGGCAAGAACACUGCCUAUCCAACCAUCUCAUCUUUUGUUGUCCCCUUCUUUUGCCUUCAGUCUUUCCCAGCAUCAGGGCCUUUUCUAAUGAGUUUGCUCUUCACAUCAGGUGGCCAAAUUAUUUCCAUUGACUUUGUAUGUUUGAUCCUCAUGUCUGUUCCUAGAUGGAAAAAGACAGAGCUGAUGGUCAGUGAAUACUCUGGGAUGGUUGCCUACUAGGCUCUGGACUUUUAGCUGUGGGACCUGUGCCAAGGAAAGGAAGACUUCUAGGGGGAAUACCUCACUGGUCAGAAUUGGCUGUGUGAGCAGAAAGCUAUUCCUAGUGGGCCUGUGCAAAGCAUACUGAGAGGGCCAACUUUUCUUUAAAGGAAAGUGAAUUUGCUCAGUCAUGUCCGACUCUUUGCGACCCCAUGGACUAUAGCCUACCAGGCUCCUCCAUCCAUGGGAUUUUCCAGGCAAGAAUACUGGAGUGGGUUGCCAUUGCCUUCUCCAGGGGAUCUUCCCGACUCAGGGAUUGAACCCGGGUCUCCUGCAUUGCAGGCAGAUGCUUUACCCUCUAAACCAUCAGGGAAGCUAAGUUUUCUUUACCUUGACCCAAAAUGAAGUGUUUGGUUUGGUUUAGUUUUUGGCUAUGAUAUGGGCCUAAUAAGACAACAGGAUGGAGGAUAUAUCUAUUCCUCUGAAUUCCCAAGGUGAGAAACUGAUUCUCAAUUUUUUUCCUGUGAUCAAAUACAUAUGAUAAUGUAUCCCCUUUCCUCCAUGUUCUGAUACUUGAAGUUAAUGCAAUGAGGAUCAAGUAUGAAAUUAGGGCAGUAGUUAAGAAGCUAAAGAAAAUGGAGUGCUAUGGGGGCACUGACACAGCAGGACAUUGACUGGAUAUGAAUAUGGGGGUGUAAACAUGGAUGUGUGCAUGCUAAGUCGCUUCAGUCAUGUCUGACUCUUUGCGACCCUACAGACUGUUGCCCGCCAGGCUCUUCUGUCCAUGAGAUUGUCUAGGCAAGAAUACUAGAGGGCUUGCCAUGCCCUCCUCCAGGGUAUAUUCCCAACCCAGGGGUCGAACCCACAUCUGCUACGUCUCCUGCACUGGCAGGUGGGUUCAUUAACACUAGCACCACCUGGGAACAUGGGAGCUCAUAGUAAACAUGUUCCUUGGAGAUCAUCUGUGUUUCAUCAUUAACUCGCAAGUACUCGAUUCAUGAAGAAAUGGACAAGAAUAUAG
rnacentral:tRNA from 1 species